UUUAUUUUGUAAAUGUGUUUAAAUCAUUAAUAUUUUCAGAAUGAUCUCUCGUCCUUCAGCAGGGAAGUGAAUCUCGCUGACUCACCUCAUGUUUUAAGUGAUUGACUGUUUGCUGUGAACGUCACACUUUUAUGUUCACAGACUGUAGAGCUAGUCAUAAACUCACGGUCAAUGUUAUCAACGAUCAGCUGAUCAAGAAAACUUAAAGAGAGAACUGUGAGACCAAACACUGUUGGUUUUUUGGAUAAACCAGGUUAAAAGAUGAAAUUAACCAAGACAAAAACAAACUGGCUUCUCAUAUUGAUUCUUGCAUUUCACAUGACUUCUUCAGAAGCUUCUCAUAAUGAUGAUGAUGACGAGGUGAGGAUCCUGAUGGUGGGAAUCCGAGGUCAGUCCAGAUUCAGUGCUGCAGAUCUUCUGUCAGGAAGGAAAGACGGUGGACAGGAGGACAGAGAGAUUGUAAAGACUCCAGUAAUUACAGACGAGGCUCGUAGAAUGAUGCUGAUCACUGGACCGAACCUCUGUGAGGAGGACACAGAGAGACAGACCUUCAUAACAGCACUGUUUCUCUCGUCUCCUGGACCUCACGCCGUUCUAAUGCUCCUGAAUCUGGAAGAUCAACAAUCACAACAGUGUGAUAUUGUGAAACGAGCUCAGGAGCUGCUGGGAGCAGAAGUCCUGCAGUACUGCAUUGUUCUUCUGCUGCAAAAUCACCAGGAACCUUUCACAGGAGCCUCCAGAGAAAUGAUCGACGCAUGUGGAGGAAGAUUUCUCAUCAUAAGAGACUCUGAACCUAAACCUGCUCAAAGAGCAGCUCUCGUAGCAGAAAUACACAAGUUAGUUUGGCUCAACGAUCACAGAUUUUACUCAGUAGUGACUCAAGGGUUGGAUGCAGAAGAGUCCAGUCAAAGUGUGCAUGAAGAAAAUAAGAUGCUCCCUGAAAAACAUGACAAUUCAGCAGGAACUGCACGAUGGAUUUUACUAAUUUUACUGAACACUGCUUUUAUUUUCACUAAAGUAAGACAUGACCAUUUUCAUUUUGCGGAAAUACUCUUCGUGCUUGUUAUUUUUACCGUCACUUUAAGAGAGACUCUCAAUCCAGAUGUUUCUGUUCCUUUAAAUUUGAUUGUAUCCUCAACUUUCACAGUAGCCUCUGCAUAUAAAGACUUCGCAAAUUCACGACAUGGACACCAAAUCAUAAUGUUUUUAGUCAUGAUCUUUACAUUUCCCAGUAUAGUGUUCAUAGCCGGUCUAGGACUGACUGUAGGAACAGCGGUCAGUGUACGGACGUGGUCAGAUGUGAUCAUAGCGUGCCACGCUGCUCCCGGAGUCACAUUCGGGGCUCAUUUAUACACGGUUUACUCCAUUAUACCUGAUCAAAUGCAAGCUCGUACAACUCUCAUUUUUGCACUCAAGUUAUUCCUGUUCUGUUUCGUUGGAGUGAUGCUCUCGAUGGGGUUUGUGACUGUAUUUGCUCUGUUUGGAGUGAAGAUGACAAUAUUUCUGCUAAUAUUAGGAUUUACAAAAAUGUAUUUCCAUUUAAAGAGUCUUUCUCUGAAAUUGUUUAUUUUUUUCCUGCUUUUUCCAUGCUGUUGUGUAUUUAUUGGUUCUUUAAUUUCAUUUUUAUACAGUUUAUUAUUUCAUUAUAUUUUAACAGUAAUUUGAAACCGAUAAUAGUGACUAAAUCACAAGAGACACUUACAGAUUUUGGAUCAUAAGUUAAUGCUGAUAUUGAUAUUGAUGUUUCUUCAACUAUGGGUAUUUUUGGCACUGUGUACUUUCAGGAAAUAAUCACUCUUACAACCCAUCUUAUUUAAUUUCUUUACUAAUGAUCAUUUAACAUCAAUAAAGACAUCACAGGAAAAUCUUGAACA
ensembl:lncRNA